UUGUUCACCUUCAAAAUUUGCCCAUUAUUCUUUAAUGGGUCUCUCUCUCUCUCUCUCUUCUUUCUCUCUCUUAGGGUUUUGGUUGGGAUUUUGUGAGGGUUAAGAGAGCUUUCUUCAGUCCACUCAUGGGUGGCCGUAGGGUUUAAUUAGCUGCCGACUCAUUCAUUCAAAUACUGAGUCAAAAAUUCAGCUGCCGAUUCAGUAAACGACUGAAUGAUGCGGGAGACAAAUUGAAUCUUAAGCUUCCUGUACUUGGACUGAAGGGAGCUCCCUUCCCUUUUACUUCAAUCUCUUUUUGGGUUUUAAACUUUUAAACUCGUUCAUGUUUCGAACGAGAUCUAUUAAAGGUUGCAGGUCCGAAUUCUCGCACUUGCAAUUGCAAUGCUGGGAAGAUUGGAACUUUCUUUUUUCGUUGGGCAGGAAUGACCCAUUUGGAGAAAGAUUCAGGUACAAGAAAAGCAAUGGAUGAGAUUGAAGAGGUUCUCUAUGCUCUUCAAACUUUUCUUUUUCUUUUCAUUUCCUUACAGCAUCUUUUUUAAGAAAAAAAAAAGAAGAAAAUUCUAUUGGAAACUAAACUAAUGCUCAAGAUUUGAAAUUUGACCAAUAUUUGGAGAAGUGUUUAGAGCAGAAUCAAAAGGAAUAGAAAGUUAUUAAAUGGGAUAUUGGGAUAAUCUUAUGUUAAUUAGGGAUGUUUGCUUUACAGUUUUAAAAUAUAAUACUAUAGGAUUUGUGUAAUAUUGAGUUGGAAAGUUUAGAUUUGUAUAUGGUCUACAUUUAAAUUAUGUUUAAGAACGUGUUGUAUAAUUUAAAUUUUAUAGGCUGUUUAGUUGACAGAUUUGUAAUUUGCGAGAGUAAAGGUUAAAAGAUGGUUUAUUAUCAUUAUAUGUUAAUCUUAGGUUCAGUUUCAAUAUUAUUUCAAAUUUGAAAUUGAACCAACUUUUUCUUUUUUAGAUAGGCAUUGCAUCUAAACUUCUCAUCAAACCCUAAAAUAUGUGUUCUAGGUAAAGCUUGCCCUUUUUCAAUAUUAUGAUGAUUUCCUUUUCUUUUUAUGGAUGGCCAUGUGUUGAGAAAUUGCAUUACAGGACAAAAUUUGGUGUUUUUAUAGUCAAAUUGAUAAUCAUUUUGUUUUCAAAAAAUAAGAUUGGUCUACUCAUGAAACUUAAACAUGUCUUUUGAAAAGUAAUUUAAAAAAUUUUGUUUUGUUUUUUAAAAUUUGACUAUGGAGUCAAAAGAAUGUUGUUUAUAAAAUUUUAGGGGGGAAAAAAAUAAGACAAGGAACUUGAGAGAAAACAGGUGUAACUUUUAAAGAACAUAAUGAUUGAAUGUUUGAAACAGAUUGAUUGGUGGCAAGAUCAGUCUUUGAAGGAAGAAGGUGAAGAACAUUUCCUUAUGCAAGGCAUGAGGAUCAUAGAGAUAUCAAGUUUUUGUUUGGAAUAUUCAAGUUUGCUAAUGUAAUUUCCUCAAGUAUAUUGAUACCAAGUUUUCAUUA